AUUGAACGCUGGCGGCAGGCCUAACACAUGCAAGUCGAACGAGUGGCGGACGGGUGAGUAAUGUCUGGGAAACUGCCCGAUGGAGGGGGAUAACUACGGGAAACGGUAGCUAAUAACGCAUAACAUCGAGUGUGCACAGAUGGGAUUAGCUAGUAGGUGGGGUAACGGCUCCAUUAGGCGACGCUCCCUAGCUGGUCUGAGAGGAUGACCAGCCACACUGGAACUGAGAAAGUGUCCAGACUCCUACGGGAGGAAGCAGUGGGGAAUAUUGCACAAUGGGCGCAAGCCUGAUGCAGCCAUGCCGCGUGUAUGAAUAAGGCCUGCGGGUUGUAAAGUACUUUCAGCGGGGAGGCGUUACUCGCAGAAGAAGCACCGGCUAACUCCGUGCAAGCAGCCGCGGUAAUAC
rnacentral:rRNA from 1 species